UACAGAGGUCUCAAGCGUUGUUCGGAUUCAUUGGGCGUAAAGGGUGCGUAGGCGGCGCGGUAAGUCGGGUGUGAAAUCUUGGAGCUUAACUCCGAAACUGCAUUCGAUACUGCCGUGCUUGAGGACUGGAGAGGAGACUGGAAUUUACGGUGUAGCGGUGAAAUGCGUAGAUAUCGUAAGGAAGACCAGUGGCGAAGGACGGGUCUCUGGACAGUUC
rnacentral:rRNA from 1 species